CCUACGGGUGGCAGCAGUGGGGAAUAUUGGGCAAUGGGCGCAAGCCUGACCCAGCAACGCCGCGUGAAGGAAGAAGGCUUUCGGGUUGUAAACUUCUUUUCUCAGGGACGAAGCAAGUGACGGUACCUGAGGAAUAAGCGACGGCUAACUACGUGCCAGCAGCCGCGGUAAUACGUAGGUGGCAAGCGUUAAGCGGAUUUACUGGGUGUAAAGGGCGUGUAGGCGGGACUGCAAGUCAGAUGUGAAAACCAUGGGCUCAACCUAUGGCCUGCAUUUGAAACUGUAGUUCUUGAGUACUGGAGAGGCAGACGGAAUUCCUGGUGUAGCGGUGAAAUGCGUAGAUAUUAGGAGGAACACCGGUGGCGAAGGCGGUCUGCUGGACAGCGACUGACGCUGAGGCGCGAAAGCGUGGGGAGCAAACAGGAUUAGAUACCCUGGUAGUC
rnacentral:rRNA from 1 species